CCCUACGUGGGGGAGGCGCGGGAAACCUUUACAAUGUGGGAAAGAGUGAUAAGGAGUCCGAGUCCAGUUCUUUACUGGCUGUCCACACUGGUAGCCCCGUUAAUGCGCAACA
rnacentral:rRNA from 1 species